rnacentral:rRNA from 1 species
GCAAGUCGAGCGCGAAAUCACUUCGGUGAGAGUAGAGCGGCGGACGGGUGAGUAAUGCUUGGGAAUCUGCCCGGUAGUGGGGGAUAACGUGUGGAAACGCACGCUAAUACCGCAUACGUCCUACGGGAGAAAGCAGGGGAUCUUCGGACCUUGCGCUAUCGGAUGAGCCCAAGUCGGAUUAGCUAGUUGGUGGGGUAAUGGCCUACCAAGUCUACGAUCUAUAGCUGGUUUGAGAGGAUGAUC